rnacentral:lncRNA from 1 species
UUCCUUUGUUGAGAUAUGAAAUAAUUCCUUUAUAAAACUUUUGAGCCAAUGACACAUUGGCAUAAGGGUUGCCGUCUGUAGGCCAUCCUAUUUCUCCCACAAUAAGGGUCAUGUUCCCAUACCCUGCUCCAGCCAGAGCAGCUGCGCAAGUGUCGAGAUUGGCAUCAAAGCAAUUGGUGUAUUCAGUACCAUCUUUUUCCUUAAGAGGAUUGCUCACACCAUCAAAAAAGGCGUAGUCAAAAGGGAAGUUACCAUUUCCAUAGAAAAGACUUAGAAAAGGAUAUAUAUUGACCAUGAAAGGUGCUUUGUUCUUGUUCAAAACCUUAAGAAUGUAGUUGAGUGGAUCGGCGAUGUCAGGGCGAAAAUAUCCACUAGAGGGGGCAGGAUUCCAUGACAAGUAAACAUCACCAUUUAGAGGUACAGUUGCCUUGAUGGUGUCACCAAGUCCAGCGUCAUUUAGUGCAUUUUGCAUGUUCUC